GACCAUCUCCUAAGGCUAAAUACUCUCUAGUGACCGAUAGUGAACCAGUACCGUGAGGGAAAGGUGAAAAGUACCCCGGAAGGGGAGUGAAAGAGAACUUGAAACCGUGUGCUUACAAGUAGUCAGAGCCCGUUAAUGGGUGAUGGCGUGCCUUUUGUAGAAUGAACCGGCGAGUUACGAUCUGAUGCAAGGUUAAGCAGAAAAUGUGGAGCCGUAGCGAAAGCGAGUCUGAAUAGGGCGAAUGAGUAUUUGGUCGUAGACCCGAAACCAGGUGAUCUACCCUUGGUCAGGUUGAAGUUCAGGUAACACUGAAUGGAGGACCGAACCGACUUACGUUGAAAAGUGAGCGGAUGAACUGAGGGUAGCGGAGAAAUUCCAAUCGAACUUGGAGAUAGCUGGUUCUCUCCGAAAUAGCUUUAGGGCUAGCCUCAAGUGAUGAUUAUUGGAGGUAGAGCACUGUUUGGACGAG
rnacentral:rRNA from 1 species